rnacentral:lncRNA from 1 species
UCGUGGCAUCAUCACUUGACACUCGGCCUCACAUCACUCAAACCACCUCAUGGCAUAUAAAUUUAUCUCAGUCCCCCGUCCUCAAAUCACUCAGAAUAUCCUCACAUAUGGCCCUCGGCCUCACUCAGUCCGAAAAAACAUCACAAGCCCCACGGGUAUUAGUAAUACAGUAGUUCUUAACCCAGAACAUCAUUUAGAAAUAUCAUUAAAUUUCAAAUCCGAGUAAAAGUGGCUGAGUUUGUAAAACAGUAAAUACUAACAGGACUGAGUUCAAGUAAUAAAUCAAACAGUGAGGAAAUAGUGAUAAAAAUCCCCGAAUGGUUCAAAUAAUCGAUACAAAGCCCAAAUAUGACAAUCAAC